rnacentral:tRNA from 1 species
GGUCGUGUGCCCGAGUGGUCAGGGAGCGGUCUGCAAAACCGCAUACCGGGGUUCGAUUCCCCGCACGGCCUC